AUGAUCUUAAAUACCAUCUAUCAUGUUAAAGUCAUGUUUCACUCAGGGUCCUUAGUUACAAGGAUGCUGUGGGAGCAAAUCCAGAUUACCCAGCGUAUCACAUGGCUUACCCCACCUGCCAUCACUCUAGAGUGGAAAAGGAAGUUGGCCCAGGAAGCCAUCCAGAGCCUCAGUGCCUCCAAGUUGGCCAAGAGCAUUUGCAGCCAGUUCUGCACUUAGUCCAAUAGUUCUCAUGAGGCUUUUUCAGCCUCCUUGUGGAAGCUGGAAGCUGGACACUCUGUGUGCCUGGAGAAAACUGAAGAACUGUGGCUACAAGUUUGAAAAGAGCAUACCCCCCACCUUACCAGCCUUUCUCUGGAGAGCCAUUCUUUACAGGAUAUCCUGCUGCACUGUAAACCUAAAUAAGGAGAAGAACUGGGCCAGGGCCAAUAUGAUGUGGUGUACCUGUGUGACAACUGUGGGGGACACUUCCCUUGUGCCCUCAAGUCGGUUGUCCCUCCAGGUGAGAAACACUGGAAUGAUCUGGCCUUGGAGUUUCACUGCAUGAGGUCUCUGCCAAUGCAUGAACGAUUGGUCGGUCUUCCUGGAUCAGUCAUUGAUUACAACUAUGGUGGGGGCUCCAGCAUCACUGUGCUACUCAUUAUUGAGCAGCCUCACCAGGAGCUCUACACUGGGCUGAAGGAUGAACUAACCCUGGAGUCACGUUUUCAGAUUGCUCUGAAUGUAGCAGAGAGAAUAUGAUUCCUGCACAGUCAGGGGCUUGUCCAUCAUGACAUCAAACUGAAGAAUGUGCUGCUGGACAAACAAAACCAUGCCAAGCUCACUGACUUAGGAUUCUGCCAACUAGAGGCUAUGAUGUCAGGCAGCAUUGUGGGGACACCAGUCCAUAUGGCCCUUGAACUUUUCACAGGAAAGCAUGAUAAUUCUGUGGACAGCUACACUUUGGGGAUUCUUUUCUGGUAUGUCUGCUCAGUUCUAUCAAGCUCCCUGAGGCAUUUGAGAGGUGUGCUAGCAAAGACCAUCUCCAGGACAAUGUGCACAGAGAGGCCCGUCCAGAACGUUUCUCUUACACUCUCUUUCUUUUCUUCCUUCUCAACUUUUGGCCAUGGGGAGAAUUUGAUGUUUGUUCAUAA